rnacentral:rRNA from 1 species
UACGUAGGGGCUAGCGUUGUCCGGAAUCUUGGGCGUAAAGAGCGCGUAGGCGGCCAGAUAAGUCCGGUGUGAAAGUCAAAGGCUCAACCUUUGAAUGCCGCUGGAAACUGUCUGGCUAGAGUCCGGGGAGGGGCGAGUGGAAUUCCUGGUGUAGCGGUGAAAUGCGCAGAUAUCAGGAGGAACACCAUGGCGAAAGGCAGCU